rnacentral:rRNA from 1 species
GACGGGUGAGUAACGCGUGGGUGACCUGCCCAUAAGUGGGGAAUAACAGUUGGAGACGACUGCUAAUACCGCAUAAGCUGAGCAAUCAGUAAAGGAGGCUUAACAGCUUCCGCUUAUGGAUGGGCCCGCGUCUGAUUAGCUAGUUGGUGGGAUAAAAGCCUACCAAGGCGACGAUCAGUAGCCGGCCUGAGAGGGUGGACGGCCACACUGGGACUGAGACACGGCCCAGACUCCUACGGGAGGCAGCAGUGGGGAAUAUUGCGCAAUGGGGGAAACCCUGACGCAGCGACGCCGCGUGAGCGAAGAAGGCCUUAGGGUCGUAAAGCUCUGUUUUAAGGGACGAAAAUUCGCAGGAGUAACUGCCUGUGAAGUGACGGUACCUUAAGAGAAAGCCCCGGCUAACUACGUGCCAGCAGCCGCGGUAAGACGUAGGGGGCGAGCGUUGUCCGGAAUUACUGGGCGUAAAGAGCACGUAGGCGGGAUAACAAGUCAGGUGUGAAAGACCGUGGCUCAACCACGGGGUUGCAUUUGAAACUGUAAUUCUUGAGGGCAGGAGAGGAAAGUGGAAUUCCUGGUGUAGCGGUGAAAUGCGUAGAAAUCAGGAGGAACACCGGUGGCGAAGGCGACUUUCUGGACUGACCCUGACGCUGAGGUGCGAAAGCGUGGGUAGCAAACAGGAUUAGAUACCCUGGUAGUCCACGCUGUAAACGAUGGAUACUAGGUGUGGGAGGUAUCGACCCCUUCCGUGCCGCAGCAAACGCAAUAAGUAUCCCGCCUGGGGAGUACGGUCGCAAGGCUGAACUCAAGGAUUGACGGGGCCCGCACAA